AUGGCCUCGGGCAAUCGCGCACUCCCGAUCGAGAACGGCGAGGUCCUCCCUGCCGCCGGAGGCAAUGGCGAGGGCGGGAACGGCGGCAGCGGCGACGGAUUCAACCGCAACCGCUCCUCCGUGGACCAGCAGAUCGAUGACAUGCGGAGGAGGCUGCGGGAGUUGGAGGAGACCGAGCGCGAGAUGCUAGCCGUCGCCGCCGCCGCUUCGCAUGAAGAUCCAGCUGCAGCGGCAACCGCACUCGAAAAGGCAGAGGUGGAUGCUUGCUCCAUCUAUGUUGGAAAUGUUGACUAUGGGUGUUUGCCAGAGGAAGUUCAGGAGCAUUUUCAGGAUUGUGGAACUGUCAACAGGGUUACAAUUCUGACAGACUUUUAUGGCAACCCCAAAGGAUAUGCGUACGUGGAGUUUCAUGAAGCUGAGGCAGUCCAAAAUGCUCUCCAGCUGAAUGAUACAGAACUGCAUGGCCGUCCAUUGAAGGUGUGUCCAAAAAGAACUAAUGUUCCAGGAAUGAGCUACCAUAGGGGAAGGCGCCCGUUUCAACCUUACUAUCCCCCCUAUCCAGCAUUUGGGAGGUCACCCAGGUUCAGGAGGUCACCCAGGUUCUAUCCCUAUUACUGA
rnacentral:rRNA from 1 species